rnacentral:rRNA from 1 species
GGGUGCGACCAUACCAGCACUAACGCACCGAAUCUCGUCAAAACUCUGAAGUUAAGCAUGCUUGGGCGAGAGCAGUACUAGGAUGGGUGACCCCCUGGUAAUUCCUCGUUUGCACCCC